AGUUCGGAUCCUGGCUCAGAUUGAACGCUGGCGGGAUGCUUUACGCCACAUGCAAGUCGUGAACGGCAGCACGGACUUCGGUCUGGUGGCGAGUGGCGAACGGGGUGAGUAAUGUAUCGGAACGUGCCUAGUAGGCCGGGAUAAUCACGCGAAAGCGCAGCUAAUACCGCACUUAGCCGCCCUUCGGGGAAAGCGGGGACCUUUCGGGCCUCGCACUAUUAGAGUCGCCGAUAUCGGAUUAGCUUGCUGGUGGGGCACGGCUCACCAAGACGAGAUCCAGAAGCCGGUUUGAGAUAAUGCAUCCAGCCACACCGGGACUGAGACACGGCCCAGACUCCUACGGAGGCAGCAGUGGGGAAUUUUGGACAAUGGGGGAAACCCUGAUCCAGCCAUCCUGCGUGCGAUGAAGGCCUCUCCUGGGUUGUAAAGCACUUUUGGCAGGAAAGAAACGGCACGAUAAGUCGACCCCCGUGCAACUGACGGUACUCUGCAGAAUAAGACCACAAUCCACGCCAGCAGCCGCGGUGGUAAUACGUAGGGUGCAAGCGUUAAUCGGAAUUACUGGGCGUAAAGCGUGCGCAGGCGGUUCGGAAAGAAAGAUGUGAAAUCCAGAGCUUAACUUUGGAACUGCAUUUUUAACUAUCGAUAGAGCGUCAGAGGGAGGUGGAAUUCGCGGGCAGUGAAUGCGAUAUGCGGAGAACACUGGAUGGCGAAGGCAGCCUCCUUGAUAACACUGACGCUCAUGCACGAAAGCGUGGGGAGCAAACAGGAUUAGAUACCCUGGUAGUCCACGCCCUUAAACGAUGUCAACUAUUCGUUGGGGCCUCGCCCCGGUAGCGCAGCUAACGCGGUGAAGUUGACCGCCUGGGGAGUACGGUCGUAAAAGAUUAAAACUCAAAGGAAUUGACGGGGACCCGCACAAGCGGUGGAUGAUGUGGAUUAAUUCGAUGCAACGCGAAAAACCUUACCUACCCUUGACAUAAAACGCUGGGAACUGAAGAGAUUUAAAAAAGUGGGGGAGUGCUCGCAAGAGAACCGGAACAUGUAUGCUGUAUGGCUGUUGCCAAUAGCUCAGGCCGUGAGACGUUGGGUUAAGUCCCGGCAACGAGCGCAACCCUUGGUCAUUAGUUGCUACGAAAGGGCACUUAAUGAGACUGCCGGCAUGUAAACCGGAUGAAGGUGGGGAUGAGACGUCAAAGUCCUCCACUUAUGGGUAGGGCUUCUACACGUCAUACAAUGGUCGGGACAGAGGGUCGUCAACCCGCGAGGGGGAGCUAAUCCCAGAAACCUGAUCACGUCCGAUCGCAGUCUGCAACCUGCGACUGCGUGGUCGGAAUCGCUAGUAAUCGCGGAUCAGCAUGUCGCGUGAAUACGUUCCCGGGUCUUGUACAUACCGCCCGUCACACCAUGGAGGGGUUUUACCAGAAGCGGUUGCGCCUAACCGUAAGGAGGGCGAUUACCACGGUAGGAUUCAUGACUGGGGUGAAGUCGUAACAAGGUAG
rnacentral:rRNA from 1 species